rnacentral:rRNA from 1 species
AUACGUAGGGGGCAAGCGUUAUCCGGAUUUACUGGGUGUAAAGGGAGCGUAGGCGGCAAGGCAAGUCUGAUGUGAAAACCCGGGGCUCAACCCCGGGACUGCAUUGGAAACUGCUUAGCUAGAGUGUCGGAGAGGUAAGUGGAAUUCCUAGUGUAGAGGUGAAAUUCGUAGAUAUUAGGAGGAACACCAGUGGCGAAGGCGACUUACUGGACUGUAACUGACACUGAGGCACGAAAGCGUGGGUAGC